GACGAACGCUGGCGGCGUGCCUAAUACAUGCAAGUAGAACGCAGUUUCGCACGGGUGAGUAACGCGUAGGGAACUGCCUCAUAGCGGGGGAUAACUAUUUGAAACGAUAGCUAAUACCGCAUUCGGUGAGAUUGACCUGCGUUGUAUUAGCUAGGUGGUGAGGUAAAGGCUCACCAAGGCGACGAUACCUAGCCGACCUUAGAGGGUGAUAGGCCACACUGGGACUGGGACACGGCCCAGACUCCUACGGGAGGCAGCAGUAGGGAAUAUUCGGCAAUGGACGGAAGUCUGACCGAGCAACGCAGCGUGAGUGAAGAAGGUUUUCGGAUCGUAAAGCUCUGUUGUUAGAGAAGCUGUAACUAACCAGAAAGACACGGCUAACCACGUGCAAGCAGCCGCGGUAAUA
rnacentral:rRNA from 1 species